rnacentral:rRNA from 1 species
AUGGAGGCAGAGGAGGGUGACCGCAUUAGCCUUCUCCCUGACUGCCUGCUGGGCAACAUCGUCUCCCUCCUCCCUGUCAAGAACGCAGCCUGCACCAUGGUUCUCUCCCGCCGCUGGCGACGCAUCUGGCCGUCGGUGCCGCUCGACCUAGACCUCGACGGCAGCAACAGGAAUCUUGGCUCCGACGGCCACUCAAUCUUGCGCAUCCUUUCCUCCCACGGCGAUGGGCCUAUCCGUCGCUUCCACGCCACCGUCUCCGCGCACAAGGCGACCUCUAGCUGGCUGCAAAUCCUAUUCAACCAGCGCAUCGACGACAGCCUCGUGCUCAAGUUCGUGCCGCACGCCGCGCACCCGCCGCUCCCUCGCGACCUCCUAAGGUUCAGCGCUAAUGUUCUCCGACAUUUGGAGCUGCAUUGCUGUUGCCUUGACCCCCAACUUGGAGUAACUCUGCCUUUGCAUAGCCUGCAUUAUCUGCACCUGUCCAAUGUGGUGAUUCCCGAGACGUCGUUGCACUCUAUGAUCGCCGGCUGUCUAGCCCUGCGGAAGCUACAGCUCUUCAGAGUCCAUAACCUUCGCCGCCUCGUCCCUUGCUCACGUAAUCUCGUCGAGGUGUACAUCAGGCCACACGUCCCACUUGAAAAGGUCUCUUUCAGCGGAACACCUAAUCUUGAAAGCAUUGUGCUCUUAUAUGCGGACAUAUGGCGGCUAUGUCCCGACAUCUUUGUAAAAGAUGCCCUUCCUCCUAAGGUCCGGAAGGUUGCUCUCACACUUCCAAUGCUGCACUCGCCCAACUUUGUGAUUACGCCUAAGAUGUCAGUAUCCAUCAUUACAACACUGAUCCUCAACAUGAAAUUUAGUGAUGGUGAAGAACUGAGGAAGGCUACCAACAUGUUAAGCUUGUUCCCCUGUUUGCAAGUUCUUCAGAUUUGGUGCCUCGCCUUUGAAUGGACGGAUAAACAUGCGUUUGGGCAGUGGCAACCAGCAGCUGAUACAAUUAUGUGCCUAAACGAGCAUCUCAAAUAUGUGGAACUUCAUGGGUAUUAUGGAACUAUAGGGGAGGUGCAAUUUGCAAGCUUCCUUAUGGCUGGAGCAAAAGCUCUGAGGGCCAUGCAAAUAUUGCACGGUAGUAAAUUGAGGGAUGAGCGUAUCAACACCAUGAAAAGUUUAAUACUGAAAGGUGGCAAAGCUUCGUCAGAAGCUCAACUUAGCUUUGCAUGGAGGAGCGACAUACCUACUGUUCGAGAGGACCUUGAUAGUUACCUGCGCCAAGUUCGUAUUAUUUGA